UGAGGAAUAUUGGACAAUGGAGGCAACUCUGAUCCAGCCAUGCCGCGUGUAGGAAGACUGCCCUAUGGGUUGUAAACUACUUUUAUAGAGGAAGAAUAAGGGCUACGUGUAGUCUGAUGACGGUACUCUACGAAUAAGGAUCGGCUAACUCCGUGCCAGCAGCCGCGGUAAUACGGAGGAUCCAAGCGUUAUCCGGAAUCAUUGGGUUUAAAGGGUCCGUAGGCGGGUUUAUAAGUCAGUGGUGAAAGUUUGCGGCUCAACCGUAAAAUUGCCAUUGAUACUGUAGGUCUUGAAUAAGUGUGAAGUGGUUAGAAUGUGUAGUGUAGCGGUGAAAUGCAUAGAUAUUACACAGAAUACCGAUUGCGAAGGCAGAUCACUAACACUUUAUUGACGCUAAGGGACGAAAGCGUGGGUAGCGAACAGGAUUAGAUACCCCCGUAGUCC
rnacentral:rRNA from 1 species